UUUUUUAUGGAAGAGGAAGAAUCCCCCACUACUUUAACAUUGGUGUACUUUCUAUGUCUUUAAAAAGGGUAAGUGCUCCAAUGUUUUAGUGGUGGGGAGUCCUUAAUGUAACUUUAAAGUUU
rnacentral:precursor_RNA from 14 species